AACGAACGCUGGCGGCAUGCCUAACACAUGCAAGUCGAACGAGACCUUCGGGUCUAUUGGCGCACGGGUGCGUAACGCGUGGGAACCUGCCCUUAGGUUCGGAAUAACUCCCCGAAAGGGGUGCUAAUACCGGAUAAUGUCUUCGGACCAAAGAUUUAUCGCCUUUGGAUGGGCCCGCGUUGGAUUAGCUAGUUGGUAGGGUAAAAGCCUACCAAGGCGACGAUCCAUAGCUGGUCUGAGAGGAUGAUCAGGCACACUGGGAGUGAGACACGGCCCAGUCUCAUACGGGAGGCAGCAGUCGGGAAUAUUAGACAAUGGGCGAGAGCCUGAUCCAGCAAUGCCGCGUGAGUGAUGAAGGCCUUAGGGUUGUAAAGCUCUUUUACCCGGGAUGAUAAUGACAGUACCGGAAGAAUAAGCGCCGACUAACUCCGUA
rnacentral:rRNA from 1 species